rnacentral:rRNA from 1 species
UACGACUACAUAUCAGGCAUAUCAAUAAGCGGAGGAAAAGAAACUAACAAGGAUUCCCUUAGUAACGGCGAGUGAAGCGGGAAGAGCUCAAAUUUGAAAUCUUCAAGGUUCUACCUUGACGAAUUGUAGUUUAAAGAAGUGUUUUCUGUUAGAUGAGUAGCAAAAGUUCCUUGGAAUGGGACAUCAUAGAGGGUGAGAAUCCCGUAUUUGGUUAUUCAUUCUAGCUUUGUGAUACACUUUCAAAGAGUCGGAUUGUUUGGGAAUGCAGUCCAAAAUGGGUGGUAAAUUUCAUCUAAAGCUAAAUAUUGGCGAGAGACCGAUAGCGAACAAGUACCGUGAGGGAAAGAUGAAAAGAACUUUGUAAAGAGAGUUAAACAGUACGUGAAAUUGUCAAAAGGGAAGCGUUUGACACCAGUGUUGUUUUUCCGAAAAUCAAUUACGAAUGGCUUGAUUUUGUGUUGUAUUGACCUUAUCAGCUUUCUUCACUUUUUUCGAGUCUUUCUUAAUGCACUUUUCGGUUAACAAGUCAACAUCAAUUUCUUUUGUUGUAAAAGAGUAUUCGGAAGGUGGCUUUCUUUUCGGAGAAAGUGUUUAUAGCCCUAUACUUCUACAAUCGGAGAGAUUGAGGUCUGCAGCGUAGAUCCUUCGGGGUUAGAUACAUUUGUGCUAAGUUGUAGCUUUUCAUAGACAACUUGUUGACUAUGUUUAGUCAUGCGGCUUACUCGCUUGUGCUAUUUUACCUACGCUUAGGAUGUUGAGUAGCGACAUACGCAC